rnacentral:rRNA from 1 species
UACGAAGGGGGCGAGCGUUGUUCGGAAUUACUGGGCGUAAAGGGCGCGUAGGCGGCGCCGGAAGUCAGGCGUGAAAGCCCCGGGCUCAACCUGGGAGGUGCGCUUGGGACUCUGGUGCUGGAGUUCGGGAGAGGAGAGUGGAAUUCCCAGUGUAGAGGUGAAAUUCGUAGAUAUUGGGAAGAACACCGGUGGCGAAGGCGGCGCUCUGGACCGAGACUGACGCUGAGGCGCGAAAGCGUGGGGAGCAAACAGG